rnacentral:tRNA from 1 species
GGGAAUGUAGCUCAAUAGUAAAGCAUUUGGCUGGCGUACAAAAGAUUCUGGGGUCUGUUCCUGGCUUCCCA